rnacentral:SRP_RNA from 2 species
GCCGGGUGUAGUGGUGUGCACCUGUAGUCCCAGCUACUCAGGAGGCUGAGGCAGGAGAAUCGCUUGAACCCAGGCGGCAGAGGUUGCAGUGAGCCAAGAUGGCACCACUGCACUCCACCCUGGGUGACAGAGUGAGACACUGUCUCAA